CGAGAGACCUCUGUGAUUAGCUAAGGUGGAACCCUAUGAAUAGAGAUGUGUCAGCUCAAUUUGUACAUGAGGGUAACUCCGGAGAGCAGACCCAGCACUUGGAUGCUAAAUCCAUCAGUUUGAUGUCCAGCUUGGACAGGGGCCGUUUUGCGGUUCUCAGGGGUAGAAACCAACUAGGCGAUACCUAUAAGUCAUAUCGGUCCAUUCCCAGUGGGAAUUUAGUCUUCUCCGCUUUCCAAGCGGUAACGCGCCGUUCGUCCCGAGGAAACAUCUGUGUCCGUAUGUCACUGACAUCCACUGGUUAGUCCCAGAUAGAGUGCAAACCCCGUGUCAGGUGUUUGCGGUGUCCUUUCCGGACUCCGCCAUGAAGACUGAUCCUCUUGAUGAAUCCAUCCGUUAGCCAACGAGUACCAGGGGUGCUUGGUGUAGCGUCUAGGAUGGCCGGUGGAAUGUUCCCGUAGGGUACCGAUGGUUUCUGGCAGUGAGGUCAGCGGGGCGGCAAGAGGACAGGCCAAGUGACCUUCUGGGUACGGGAGAUUUGUCCUUCGGCCGUGAUUGCACAACUGCCAUAGAGGUAACACUGUCGGAAUGAUACCUGGUGCGGCCAGCUGGGGGUCACCCAGCGUGCAAGAGGGGGUCACCCAACAAGCACAAGCAUACCAUGCAGUAUAGGCCUGCAAGGGAGGGGGUCACCCUCAGUCUGAACAUAAUCGGACACUGUAGGUACAGUGGUGCGGCCAGCUGGGGGUCACCCAGCGUGCAAGAGGGGGUCACCCAACAAGCACAAGCAUACCAUGCAGUAUAGGCCAGCAGGGGAGGGGGUCACCCUCAGUCUGAACAUAAUCGGACACUGUGGGUACAGUAGUGCCGAAGUGGUUAGCCGUAUAAUGAAGUAACCAGACAUUGCCAGUCCAGCAGUGUAGACGGCAGGAGGGGGUCACCCUCAUAUAACCAGAACCGGGCAUUGCAGAUCCAGCAGUGCUGUAGGUAAGAGGGGGUCACCCUCAGUGUGGUAUCAUAGAGGUCUGUACACCCAGCAGUGUAGUCAGCGAGAGGGGGUCACCCUCAUUAUGGUUAUAAUGGGACCCUGUAGGUCCAGCAGAGUAGUCCACAGGAGGGGGUCACCCUCAGUAUCUGCGUAUUGCAGGGCACUGUAAGAACAGAAGCUCAAUCAGUGGGAGGGGUACCCUCUUUUAUGGGAAUACCCGGAUGCUGCAGAUCCAGCAGUGCAGACUGCAG